AUUGUCUAAUAGGGUGGAGCGGGAAAAAAAUUUCGAUUUUUUAUCCAAUUUCGACAUCGUGAUCCAGAAUCAGUAACUCCCACUGAUCAUUUUUCCGAAAAAAGAUUUUUUUAAUUUUAUGAUUUAGGGGUGCCGCCGAUGGUAUUUUUGAGUUUAUUUUAUAUAGGCUUCAA